rnacentral:rRNA from 1 species
GACGAACUGCCCAAACGUUGUUCGGAAUCACUGGGCUUAAAGGGCGCGUAGGCGGCAGAUCAAGUCAGGGGUGAAAUCCGGCAGCUCAACUGUCGAAGUGCCUUUGAUACUGAUUUGCUCGAGGGAGAUAGGGGUCUGUGGAACUUCUGGUGGAGCGGUGAAAUGCGUUGAUAUCUGGAGGAAUACCGGUGGCGAAGGCGGCAUCCUGGACCAUUACUGACGCUGAGGCGCGAAAGCUAGGGGAGCAAACGGG